rnacentral:rRNA from 1 species
GAUGAACGCUGGCGGUAUGCUUAACACAUGCAAGUCGAACGGACUCUUCGGAGUUAGUGGCGGACGGGUGAGUAACGUGUGAGAAUCCGGCUUUGGGUUCGGGACAACCACUGGAAACGGUGGCUAAUACCGGAUGUGCCGAGAGGUAAAAGAGAAAUUGCCUGAAGAUGAGCUCGCGUCUGAUUAGCUAGUUGGUGAGGUAAAGGCUCACCAAGGCAGCGAUCAGUAGCUGGUCUGAGAGGAUGACCAGCCACACUGGGACUGAGACACGGCCCAGACUCCUACGGGAGGCGGCAGUGGGGAAUUUUCCGCAAUGGGCGAAAGCCUGACGGAGCAAUACCGCGUGAGGGAAGAAGGCUCUUGGGUUGUAAACCUCUUUUCUUAGGGAAGAACAAAAUGACGGUACCUAAGGAAUCAGCAUCGGCUAACUCCGUG